rnacentral:lncRNA from 1 species
AGUAGCAGGAAGGGAACUGGGCAGUAAGUGACUUCUGUCUGUUUCACUUCCAAUCGCCUUUUCUGCCCAAAUACACACAAAUAAAAAAUAAAUAGCUCUUCCUGGAAGGAAAGGGGCUAAAAGUAGUGGUUUGAAGUUUUAAAAUUUUUGUGCUUUUAUCUAAAUCCCAACCUGCCCUCAGCACAGUAGACUUUCUUUACAUCUUUGUAGAGCACAGAUACUUAAAAA